rnacentral:lncRNA from 1 species
AAGCAAUUUGCUCAUAGCCAUAGCUUUCUUGUGAAAGUAGGAUAUUAACCCAGGUGUCUUGGUGCUGGAGAACAGAACUGGCCAGAGUCCAUCCUGUCUCCCACCGGCAUCCCAUUACGAAAUGAACACAGAAAAGGCAGGUCUGCAAUGCCAACAUCUAGUAUCUAUCCCAAAGACCAGGGAGAAAGGAAGGAAAGAUUCUGGUUCUGUCCUCUUCCCCAAGGCAAGGCUGGCUGCCCUACCAACAGAGGCAAAGAGAAGAGUGUGCAAGGCUGGCUGCCCUCCCAACAGAGGCAAAGAGGAGUGUGUGUUGAAAUAUCCAUUGAAUCCCUGAGACAACUGGAUCCUGGCCCAUUGAAUCAUAAACUCAAAUCUCACAUCAUAACCCCAAAUGACCUGUUACUCACCAUGUGGCCCAGCUGUCUUCAAACUCACCAGCCUCCUGCCUUAGCCUUCUAAAUGCUUGGAUUACAGGCAUGACCCACCAUAACUGGCUUUGUUUUAGUUUCAGAGAAGAUGAAACUGAUGUGCGUCAAAAAGUAAACUACCCACAUUUUAACUGGGCACAUUCCUGUCAAUCUGAUGAGAAUCUAUUUCAUACCCUGCUUUAGCUGGUAGUCUGUCAAGGAAAUGAGCUGAACAUGUCUGUGUACAGCUUUUGUGCCAUCCCUGGAUGAGCGAGCUGUCUGCCUCUAUGUUCUCCACAAAAUGGAAUAUAGCUGUACACCCAAGCCAAGUUAUGGAGGCUGGGAAGACCUAGAAUGUGGCAUCACUAUUUGCUUCGACAAUUCUGUGGAGAUAAACUUUCAGUAGACGUGGAGCAGAUUAUCACAGUUGAAUUGUGCUGAGAGAAGAGCUGAAAUGACUAAGCUCACAGGAAAACUACCAAAGGGCGUUACUGAAUGUCCAGUUUACAGUCUCCAAAGGGGAGCUGCCUCUGCUGGUGGUGAUGCAUGGAACAUGGCUUUAUUGUGUGAACCUUGGAAAUGGACACCAGAGAGUCCUGGACUUGUAGUCGGUGUAGCAGAAGUUGAUCUGGGGCCGAGGUCUUAAGAUUUCUGAGGCUCAAGACAUGAGUAAUAGAUUGCUAGUCUUUCCAUGGAUGAGAACCGGCAAAAUCUCUAAGUGAGAAAUCACAUCAUCUAUAGUUCAAAGCAGAGUUCCUAUUCCAAUGAGAAAGAAUACUCAUCAGAAGGUCAAGGCAUGCAACCAACCAAUCCAUACGAUGUGUUCCAAUAUGCUCAACUCUGCUCUCAAUGUUUUGCAGCAUGUCAGAAUGUAAACUUAACAGCAACCUCUGAGGUGUUAAAUACAGACAAGUCAAAGUAGAUUAAAUCUAUUUCAACAUAAAGAUUUGAACAUGGCACUCUGCCCCGGAAAUGCAUGUGACCCCCUCAAUAUGCUGCCUUUGCUGCACAACUGUCUUUUUGUACUCUUGUAAUGUUGAUGGCUUGUGCAUCAUCAAAACCAAACAAACGUCUGUUGGACUGACAGACGAUUAAGAGUCAAUGUCUGAGUGGAGGAUAAAUGUGAGAAACUCCACUAGGAGGAGACAACCUUUCCUCCAUCAAAAAGACAGCGCUAAGAAUCCUUACCAUUGUAAUCUGGUCCAUAGAGAGAGCAGCAUCCUUUCCCUAACGAUUACCCAUUUCCUAUUAGCAAAUGACUCCUGUGAUGCUUCCCCAGCUAAAAUAGGACCCAAAUUGGCUAAGUACCAUAGACAAUAUGUGCAAUUCUGUUUUUAAAAAUCACCAGAAGUAAAAGGGUCCAUUCAAAUAAAUGGAACAAGAAUGUCCUGAGCCAAACGUGGAAGAUUGCCUCUUCAUUUCCAGACUUUGUUUUGGUGUCAAAGCAGUUCUCUAAACACUGGCUGUUAAACAUUUCUAGUAAAAGGGAUAGUGUUUGUCAAUUUCAGCUUGAAUGAAGCCCAUGGAAGGGAAAACAAACUUUGUCACCAGUAUCUUUCAUUCAGCUAUAAUUUUUUUCUUCAUUAGAGUAAAAUGAAGCCUAGGAUUAUGAGAUUUUUCUGGCUUUUACAGUACUGGGUAUUUAACAGUUCUAUUGCUCUGUCUUACUCUAGUGCUGUGCUUGUAUGGCCACCGAGUGAGUGUCCAUUUGAGGGUGUUCUGAACAAAGGCCUGUUCCCUAAGCUCUUCUAGACUGGGGCACGAAAAGAAUACAUUUCUGUUGAGAGUCACGAUUCUAAUCCUAGCAAGUGUUAUCCUACUGGGUUUCCCUGGAAAUGGUCCUCCAGGUCUGAAUCAAAAUUCAUUAUCUUCUAAGUUGGGAAGAAAAUGUAUAGAGGGAAAGAAAUCUGCCAUUUCUUCAAGUGUUUCAUACAAGUAUGAUUGACUUAGCCACUGAAUGCUUGGCACGAUAUUUGAACAUACUGAAAAUUUAGGCUGAGAGGGUUUUCAAAUAACUGAAGGCCAUAUGGUGACCUUCCUAAAAAUUACUUUGCAUAUUCAGUGUGGACUGUUGAGAAAUCAUUUGCCAGUUUUAUGACUUCUUGGCUUCCAGCCCAUUCAGCUUAGGCCUUCUCUGGUCAUGCAGUCAUAUUUCCACAACUGUGUGAUAGGAUCUCUGCCAGUGCUAUCUGAAUUCCUUACAGCUGUCCUCGGUAGCCCUUCUGUUUGCUCAGAGAGGGGCAGACUCUUUUCUCAGUAGAAUCACGAAUGCUGCCUUUAAGUUUUGUUUGCACAUGGACACAGUCAUAAACAGACCCCUUCUCUCAAUCACUCAUCUAUUAACUAGCGCUAGUUCAUUCACCAUUGUCAUGGUGGGCUUUCCGUGUGUGUCUUGUUCUAUGCUACAUAAAUAAGUGAGAACUGCUGAGUAUCCUUCAAGAUCCAGUGGUCUGAUAAGAAUGAGGGAUACAUGAGUCAACAUUAGAGUAGCUAGUGCCACAUUCUUCAGAAGGCAAACACGCAUAAUGAGGUCUUGAGGGCGGAUGUGACUUGAGGAGGAGAAGUGGGAAGCAAGACCAGAAGAUGACUUUGAGGGCAUUAAGGACCUAUUCUCACAGAUUUUGGAGGCUUUUCAGCACAUUUGCUCUAUUUUGUCACUGACACAUUCUUUAUGAGACCACACGACACACUAAGAAGAGAACAGACAUGAAGUAUAUUUCUGUCACUUGCUAAUUUAUGUCUUUGACAAAUGACCCUACUUCUGCUAUGGCAGAAGACAUUUGCCAGUCCAAUACUGGUCCACAUCUAGACUCCAUACUCUUUGUCCAGAAAUGUUCUCUCUGCCAUAGUCUUGGUGUUAUCAGUUUGUGCUGUGAAAAACUAAUUGCUUUCCCUAUCAUGCUGAUCAGUCUCCCAGAAUAGAGUUUAUAAUGUCCAGUUGUAGCAGUGAAUAGUUAAGCCACACUGAGCUCCCAACUGUUCAAGAAUACUCUGCACCAGCCCAAGAACUCUGCAUUCAUGAAUCAAAGACACACAUACAUGCACAGAGAGAGAGAGAGAGAGAGAGAGAGAGAGAGAGAGAGAGAGAGAUUGAUUGAUUGAUUGAUUAAUUGAUUGAUUUAGUAUGCAGCUAGCACACACUCCCUCUGGUAUUCCUGAGUUAUCAUUUUCUAAAUCUAUAUUUUAUCUUUGCUUCCCCAGACCUAAGCAGGGGAGUGACCCCUGGGGCCACUUCCCUGACUCUUGCAUGCUGGCAGGCCUUUAAUUCUGAUCUCUUGGCUUCCCCACCAUAGCGUGGUCCAUUCUACUACCCUCUCAUGUAGAAUCCCUUCUUCUUCUCCCCUGCAUUUCUUGCCCAGGAAUCCUAAAAGUCCCGCCUCUUUCACUCUGCCCAGCCAUUGGCUGUUGGCUCUUAAUUGAUUAAUCAAAAACCAAUUGGGGACAGGAACCUUCACCGUCUGGGCAUGCAGAUUCUCAUGUGAUUUUUGGAGUCGAAUUAAGACAAAGCAUUUGAACCAAUCCCAACAUCUGGCCUUGGUUCACAACAUGAGACCCACCCAGUUCUCUGCAAGAAGACUUAAUAAUGGAUGUUGGGGAAGCAACCAAUAGUACUGCUCCUCGCUGGUGUAGGCCUCCUAGCUUCCAGUAGAAAGAUCAUCACUUCUCUACAGAGUCAGAAUGGUGAAUUAUGUUUAUAAUAACACUUCUGUAGUUCCAGAUUAUAAAAUAUGAUUAUGUCAAUUUUCUGCCACAUCCUAUGAGCCUUGUUUGAAGCCCAUGCUUAGAGAAAGUUUACAUUAUCUUUCUUCCAGGCAAUGACUACAACAUUACUCUAUUUUCUUUAAGGAAAAAAAAAAAAAAAGAAAGAAACACCGACUCUUGUAACUGAUUCUUUGAAAUAGGAAUUGAUUUCGUUCUAUUGUGCAUUACAAGUCUGUAAUUCCCUUUUUGAUUUUUCAGAGGGUUAGAGUUAAAAGAUUGCCUUGAAUAUCACAAAAAAAAUUUGGACUUUGAGACUGUACUGAGAUCAUGGAAAACUGGGGAAUUUUAACAUUUGAUAAGUGAAUUUUGCAUUAUGGUUUGGCUACAAGCUUAUGAGGGCUCAGGGAUUAUAAUGUGGUGGUUUGAAUAAGAAUGGACCCCAUAGGCUCAUGUAUUUGAAUGCUUGGUCUCCAGUGAGUGGUACUGUUUGAGACUGAAUAGGAAGUAUGGCCUUGUUGGAGGAGGUGUGUCACUAGGGGGUGGGCUUUGUGAUUUCAAAAGCCUAAGCCAUUUCCUGUUGGCUCUUUGUCUCAGUCGGCUUCCAACUAGGACAAGCCAUAAAUUCUCAGCUCCUGCCACAGCUCUAUGCCUCACCGCCUUGUUGUCCUGUUGAUGGUCAUGAACUCUAAACUCUGGAACCAUGAACCUCAAUAAACAUGUUCUUUCUUAAGUUGUUUUUGCCAUGGUGACUUUCUAGCAAUAGAAAAGUAAAUAAGACAGUUUUUUUUUUUUGUUUUUUUUUACAGAAAUUAACAUCUAAAUUCCUGUUUAACUGGAUAGACAAUUCUAAGUCAUUUUAUUUUAUUUUCAGCACCUAGAAAACAAAACUGUAUUAUCACCUUGCUUCCUAUUGCUCUGUUCCAAAGCUCUAUAACGAUAUUUUACUAUUCUGUGUUCUUCAGAAUUAUUUUGUUCUUUCAUUCUUCACAUGUUAAGAAUUUUCUUUUUCUUUUGUCUUUAUAUUUCCAAAUAAUACAUCUCUAUAAAAUAUUUGUUGGCUGUUUGCUCUUGUGACAUAGUGUUUCCUGUGUCCCAGGGUGGUCUCAAACUGGCUAUGUAGGCAAAGAUGACCUUGAACAUCCAACCCCUCCCUCUGCCUCUACUUCCUGACCUCUGAGAUUCUAAGCAUGUGCCCCAUCGCCAGGUCAUGUAACUCUGGGGAUGACCCUGAGCCUUUUGUGUGCUAGGCAGGCACUAUACCAACUGAGCCGUACCCCUAGCCCAAUGAUAUUUCUCUUCUCAAUUUGAUUCUUGUAGAGUUUGUCUCUCUUCUUUUACAUCCUGUUUAUAUUGUAUUAUAAUAUCUAGAAUAGAUGUUAUCAGUUCCUUUCCUUCUGAAGCCACAUAAAAUUCUGUGACUACCUUAUCCACAAACUGAAAUUAUGUUCUUUCUAAUGUUUAGAAAAACACUAAGCCAGGCGGUGGUGGUGCACACCUUUAAUCCCAGCACUUGGAGGCAGAGGCAGGCAAAUUUCUGAGUUCUAGGCCAGUCUGGUCUACAGAGUGAGUUCUAGGACAGCCAGGGCUAUA